rnacentral:rRNA from 1 species
GAAAGUGGAGCAAUCCAUGAGUAAAGUGGCGCACGGGUGAGUAACACGUGACUAACCUACCUUUUAGUGGGGGAUAACCUAGGGAAACCUGGGCUAAUACCGCAUAACACUUACGAGUCAAAGCAGCAAUGCGCUGAAAGAGGGGGUCGCGGUCGAUUAGUUAGUUGGCAGGGUAAUGGCCUACCAAGACUGUGAUCGAUAUCCGGCCUGAGAGGGCGCACGGACACACUGGAACUGAAACACGGUCCAGACUCCUACGGGAGGCAGCAGUGGGGAAUUUUGCGCAAUGGGGGAAACCCUGACGCAGCAACGCCGCGUGGAGGAUGAAGUCCCUUGGGACGUAAACUCCUUUCGAUCGGGAAGAUUAUGACGGUACCGGAAGAAGAAGCCCCGGCUAACUUCGUGCCAGCAGCCGCGGUAAUACGAGGGGGGCAAGCGUUGUUCGGAAUUAUUGGGCGUAAAGGGUGCGUAGGUGGUUCGGCAAGUCUUGUGUGAAAUCUUCAGGCUCAACUUGAAGUCUGCACAAGAAACUGCCGGGCUUGAGUAUGGGAGAGGUGAGUGGAAUUUCCGGUGUAGCGGUGAAAUGCGUAGAUAUCGGAAGGAACACCUGUGGCGA